rnacentral:rRNA from 1 species
AUUGAACGCUGGCGGCAGGCCUAACACAUGCAAGUCGAGCGGGUGGCGUGCGGGUGAGUAAUGUCUGUGACACGGCCUGGGGGAGGGGGAUCACUACUGGGAACGGUAACUGCAACCGCCUACCAUCGGCUAUGCCCGGAUGGGAUUAGCUAGGUGGUGGGGUAACGGCUCACCUAGGCGACGAUCCCUAGCUGGUCUGAGAGGAUGACCAGUCACACUGGAACUGAGACACGGUCCAGACUCCUACGGGAGGCAGCAGUGGGGAAUAUUGCACAAUGGGCGCAAGCCUGAUGCAGCCAUGCCGCGUGUAUGAAGAAGGUCUUCGGGUUGUAAAGUACUUUAAGCGGGGAGGCGUUACCAGCAGAAGAAGCACCGGCUAACUCCGUGCCAGCAGCCGCGGUAAUAC